rnacentral:snRNA from 2 species
AGUCGUGUGGUUAGCACAUAGCGAAUUAUUCUUUUGCCUUUUACUAAAGAAUAGCGUGUGCUUGCCACUUUAAGCAACAUACGCUAAUUUUGAGAAGGGUAUGCUUAACUGAAUACCC